rnacentral:rRNA from 1 species
UACAGAGGUGGCAAGCGUUGUUCGGAAUUACUGGGCGUAAAAGGGCGCGUAGGCCGGUCUUCUAAGUCUUGUGUGAAAUCCCUCGGCUCAACUGAGGAACUGCACGGGAUACUGGAAGACUUGAGUCGGGAGAGGGAAGCGGAAUUCCGGGUGUAGCGGUGAAAUGCGUAGAUAUCCGGAGGAACACCGGUGGCGAGGCGGCUACCUGGACCGAUUCUGACGCG